UUAAAAAGCUCGUAGUCGGAUUUCAGUAUUAGGCCCUUCUUCCAAUACGGUUGCUAGUGGUCUUUACUUCCUUAACAGAAUCUUUCAUCUCAUUAAUUUGGGGUGUUUGGGGCCUGUUUCUUUUACUUUGAGAAAAUUAGAGUGUUCAAAGCGGGUUUUCGCCUGGAUAUUACUCUUGGAAUAAUAAUAUAGGACUUUGGUUCUUUUUUGUUGGUGACUUAGAACCGAAGUAAUGAUUGAUAGGGACAGUUGGGGUCAUUCGUACUAUGAAGCGAGAGGUGAAAUUCAUGGACCUUUGUAUGACGAACUACUGCGAAAGCAUUUGACUAGGAUGUUCCCGUUGAUCAAGAACGAAAGUUGGG
rnacentral:rRNA from 1 species